rnacentral:lncRNA from 1 species
GAAAAAAAAUAACUAAACCCCACCAUGUUGGUUAGGGCAGAUACUCUCAACUGUAGCAAUCAUACCAUUUUGCUAAAUGUACAGAGUCCAUGUAAUGUGAGCAACCAUAACUUUCACUGAGCGUGUGUAAAUAUUAAAACAGAUUUCUUAAAUAUUUUUAACUUCUAAUUUGUAUUUUAUGGUAAGGCAAUGUGCAAAUUCUGUUUAUGGCUUAAGUUGCUGUGUUAUUAUGUAAAUAAUUAAACAUGCUGUAAAUGAAUAGUCAAUAGAUACAAAUCAUUGUUUAGUUUUUUUUCUUU